GACUAGCAAAGGCACUGUGAUUUUAUACUAUUAGGUAUCGUUUGGUUCGAGAAUAAGCAAAAAGUGGGUAUUCCGGGGAUAGGUAUAAAUUGAGGUAUAAGCGGAGAUUAGAUCAAUUUUGCGUUUGGAUGAAAAUUGGGUUAUUCCUGAAAAUAAGAAAAAUAGCGUUUGGUUAGGUAAGAUGGAAUAAGAAUUAAAGUGGGUAGUUAUAAAUAAAAAAUAAUAAUAUUAUUCUUUUCUUUAUAUUAGAAUUAGAAUUUUUAUAUUUUAUAUUUAUAUUUUAAAAUUUUAAAUAUAAACUUUUAAAUUUUAAAAAUCAAAAUUAAAUUUUAAAAUUUUAAAAUAUCAAAUUUAUAAUUUUAAAAAAUUAAUUUAUCAUGAAUAUUAUUAGAUAAUCAUAAAUGUUAAUUAAUACAUUAAUUACCAGAUUAAUUAAUCAUUAAUCAAUUAACCAUGAGUACUGUUAAUUAAUAAAUUAUAUAACUAUAAAUAAUUUAAUAAGUUAACAAAUUAGGCUAAUAAAUUAAUAUAUUAGUAAAUUAAUUAAUUAAUUAAUUAUUUAAUUAGUUAUGUUGGUAAAAAUAUUAAUUUAUUAAUCAAUAAAAAUAUUAGUUAUUGCAUAAACAUGCUAAUAAAUAAUUAUUAAUUUAGCUAAUAUUUUAUUAUUAAAUUAGUUAAUUUUUAAUUUAGCUAAUUAGUUAAUAAAAUAAUAUAUAUAAUAUAUUAAUUAAUAAUAUUUUAUUAUUAAACUAGUAGAGGUAUAAAGAGAAAAAUUUGCUAUUCCACCAAAAGGGUGGAACAACAAAUCUCCCCUCUUAACGGGUUAUUCUAGAAUAACCCGUUAAGAGGGGAAUAAAAUAAACUCACUUCCUCUUAUAGUGUUUGGAUGAAUUAGAGGGAUAAAGUGGUCUAUUCCCACUUUAUCCCCCAACCAAACAAUGUCUAAAAUAUAAUUUAUACUUACAAAAGCAGUGUUUGGAUUUUUUUUUUUUUGGAGCAUGAAAAAAAUAACAAAAUAACUCUAAAAAGAUGCUAUGAAUUUACUUACUAUUUUUAUUAUAUACUAAUAUUGUGAAAACAUUGUAGUCUAAAUAUUUAAACAGUU
rnacentral:lncRNA from 1 species